rnacentral:misc_RNA from 1 species
CAACCCUUAAGCCUAGCUUAGUGUUGGGAGUCUACUGAGCGUAAGCUGGUAGUUCCCGAAAUCAAACGGCGGAUCUGCAGUAUCCUCUGAGCGUAGUAAAUUUUUAUCUCGCUUUUGUAAGGUGCUGUGGCUCUUGCCGCUAAACCCCCAAUUUUUAAUGG